GGUAUCAAAUUGACAAAAAUUAAAUCACUGUCUCUCAUGUGUCGAAGCGUGAAACCACUGGUUCUUUUUUUGUAUUUUUCCCAAUUUAAAAAAAAAAAAAAGGUUUAAGAAGCAACUUAGAAUCUUCUUAAUAAUAUAUCUGUUGCUUGAAGCUAUUAAAGACUGGAGGAGAAUUCUAUGUUUCCCCUUAAUAGUUGCCUUUUCUUUAAAAUAGGUUGAAUUUUCAGAUCAUCAAUAGUUUCCUCAUUUCAUUGCCAUACAACUGGUAGAUAAGUGAGAAUGGUAACUUAAGAUCAAUUACCUAAGUAAGCUAUCAAGUCACUUAGGUGACAUCAAAUUUUUGCUUUGGAUUUGUUCCAUUUUGUUCUGCAUUCUUUUUUCUUAUAGAAAGGCAGCAGUAUUUGAGUUAUGGAGGGAUAAAAAGUUCAUUAUUAAUUAUCUUAUAAGCUUUGUCUUUGCUGCUUUCUAUUUUCCCAGCUUUCAGAAGAGAAAAUGACCAUAAGACUAUAACGUGCCGUGCACAGUGUUGGUCCUACCAACCAAACAGGAAUCUGUCGGUGAAUAAUUUGGAUAUGGUCCUGCCAUCCUCCAUUAUUUGUCUCUGAAAUCUUUAGUAUGCAUUAAUUUUACAACAAUGCAUUCUCCAUACAAUUGAGGUUGCAUUAUUUCCCCCCUUUUUCUUUCUUAGAUCCUGCUAAUUAGCUUUAUCUAGAAUCCCUUCCCCUCUAUCCUCCAAGGAUUAUUUGUGCAAAAAGAACUUAUCAACUGAUAUAUCUUGCGGGACUAUCAUGCCACUGUUCAUUAAGAAUGUAGAUAUAAUUGUUAGGCUGAUCAAUGGCUUUGCAAACAUGAUCAUUUUCUGAUGGAUAUUUUGUUGUCCACAGAAUUUGUUAAGAUCUACCUUUUCUUUUUUGAAGCACAUAAUUCAGUUAUUUUUUUGUUUUAGCAGAGAAGGAAGCAGCUGACAGAAGGAAAUUGGUGAGCAAAUGGCAUCCUACAACAAAGGGAACACUUAGAAGGAAUUAUAGGGUGCCUUCCAAAUCUGAAGGAAGGCGCCUUCUUAAAGCAAUUGCAUCAUUACUAUCUGAAGAUGAUCACUUUACUGAUGCCACUUCCCACAAGGGUUGUCAAAUUAGGAGAGAGAGUGCUCAUGGCGAAAGUGUGUGCUGCAACAAUGUAAGGGCUCUGUUCGAUGAGCUCCCAACCCCACACCUGAUUGUGGAAAUCACAGCUUUUCCUGCUGGCCCUCUCACAGAAAAAGACUAUUCCAAGGCUGAGAAAUUAGAGAGAGUGCUUAGGUCUGGCCCUUCCAUCUGAAGCAUUCUUCAAAUCUUCUCGUCUCCUUUUGUAUGUAUCCAAACUUUCAUUUGUACAUAGGAAUCAGCAAAAUGAGGUGGAACCUUCUACCUUUUUUCUUUCUUACAGCCAACCUUUACAAGAGUGUUCAUCUAACUAAGAUUCAACUGCUUAAUUUUGCUUCAACUUGAAGUUACUUGAGGGCUGAAUAGUCAACUGUUUCUACGAAUUUGUUUGCUUGAAGUUUCCACAAUGUACAAUUAUUUGUUACUAUGUUCACUAAAAAGAUUUUUAACAAUCCUUGGCCUCUUUGCUGGCUUGAGGCUUGGACGGUCUGUAAAAAAGAUGGGCUUGGGUGGGGAGGUUUUGUACUUAAACUCCAACUAUCCCACCCAAGAAUCAGGGGUAGUGAAAGAGUUGGUUUAUGCUGCAAACACUGCAUCAACCACUUGAUUUAAGCGUUGAAAUUGCAAACCCAG
rnacentral:misc_RNA from 1 species